GAAGGUAUAGCUCAAAGCAGAGCACAUGCUUACCAAGCACAAGGUCCUGGGUUCAAUCCCCAGUACGUCCU
rnacentral:tRNA from 1 species